UCUUUCGUAGUAUAGUGGUCAGUAUGCAAGCUUGUCAUCGCCAUCCUGGGAAGUAACAGCGCUUGAGACCCGGGUUCAAUUCCCGGCGAGAG
rnacentral:tRNA from 1 species